UUUUUGUUAAAAACUCACAAAGCAGAAAAAAGGGACAUCAGACAAUAUGUCUCCAAGGAACUUACUGCAACCCGUCUCUUCUUUGCACAGCAAUGGACUAUCUGUGAGAGGGGACAGCACUGGACCCUGCUAAAAGCCAUUGACAUGUCGCCGAGGUUAACAAAGAUAGUGGGGCCAUUCUUCAUCAAUGAAAACCUCAAGACCACUGGAUAUGUGAAAUUGCUACAUGAUGAUGUGUUUCCCUCUUUAUGCACUGAAGCUGGCACGAUCCCUGAGUUUUUCCAGCAAGAUGGUGCACCACCACAUUAUGGGUGUAAGGUCCGAGCAUUCCUAGAUGAACGGUUUCCUGGAAAGUGGAUUGGUCAUCGUGGGCCAGUUGAAUGGCCCCCAAGAUCCCCCGAUCUGACCCCAUUAGACUUUUAUCUUUGGGGUCAUCUGAAGGCAAUUGUCUAUGCUGUGAAGAUACGAGAUGUGCAGCACCUGAGACUACGGAUACCGGAAGCCUGUGCUAGCAUUUCUCCUGCGGUGUUGCUAUCAGUGUGUGAAGAGUGGGAGAAGAGGGUUGCAUUGACAAUCCAAAACAAUGGGCAGCACAUUGAACACAUUUUAUAAGUGGUCAGAAACUUGUAAAUAACUCAUGAAAGAAUAAAGUUAUGUUAAAACCAA